rnacentral:rRNA from 1 species
GAUGAACGCUAGCGGCAGGCCUAACACAUGCAAGUCGAGGGGUAGAGUUAGCUUGCUAACUUGAGACCGGCGCACGGGUGCGUAACGCGUAUGCAAUCUACCUUGUACAGAGGGAUAGCCCAGAGAAAUUUGGAUUAAUACCUCAUAGUAUCUUUACCUGGCAUCGGGUAAUUAUUAAAGUUCCAACGGUACAAGAUGAGCAUGCGUCCCAUUAGUUAGUUGGUAAGGUAACGGCUUACCAAGACAAUGAUGGGUAGGGGUCCUGAGAGGGAGAUCCCCCACACUGGUACUGAGACACGGACCAGACUCCUACGGGAGGCAGCAGUGAGGAAUAUUGGUCAAUGGACGCAAGUCUGAACCAGCCAUGCCGCGUGCAGGAAGACGGUCCUAUGGAUUGUAAACUGCUUUUUAANACAGGAAAGAAACAACUCUACGUGUAGAGUCUUGACGGUACUGUAGGAAUAAGGAUCGGCUAACUCCGUGCCAGCAGCCG